GUGAAUGUUUUUGUAACUCAUCCGUUUAAAUUAUAUUAAGCCUUAAACUUCUGCAUAAUUAAGGGCGUGGCCGCUUGAGUGUCGGUUGAACAGCCACUGCUGUCACUAGACUCGCGCUAGGCGGGCGUGGUUUCACCUCAGCUUCACCCAUAUCCCGCCUCUUUACGUCAAUGUAUCGCGAGAGCGAGUCAAGAAAUUACACUCUCGCGGUACAAUGACGUUUACCUGUCAGCGCAGCAAGAAGUCGAACACACGUAUUUGCGUGCGCGCGCCUCGGUCCUUGUGAGUUCAAAGUGGAUUUUAACCGUUUACCUCAGACGACAGUUUUCAUUUCUAUGGUAAAUUCUAAGGUCAUUUUCUUGUUGUGUUGUGAUGUGUUCCAUUGGCUGAAGAGCAGAUUACCAUGCAAUUUGAUGAAGUGUGAUAAAAUACACAGAGGUGAAGUCACGUGUCUUUCCAGAUGCCCAAAUCUGUACCACUCAAAAGAUGAGCCUGAAGAGGAGAUUUGGGAAGAUGCUGUUUCAUAAGUCUUUGCUUUGCCAGAUCACCUGUGGUAAGUCGGGAUGUCUGCUAACAUGAUGCCUUGUUGGUCUGGGCGAGUUUGAAGUCUCUCACAGACAGUCCAGAAGGUCUGGAGUCCAUGUUAGCUUUUAUUGAUUAACUACAUACGGUCCCUUGGGGGAGCCAACCCAGGUGAAGUCCACUGAAGUCCCGAUUGCCUACAGCAUGAAAUGGAGGAAGGAAUCAACACAGAAAAACUACAAGGCAUUAAAGGCCCUUGACGUGGAAGACUUAAUUGCAUUAGCCCUGAAAUUUGCCCCACACAGAAAUUUAAAAUGAUGGCAGAGAUUGCUGUGGAGUUCUGAAGUUCAUUGUUUAAAUGUUUUCAUUUUUAAUAUAUUAAAAUGUUUUUUAUGAUACAAUGUUCUACAUGUUUAUUGCCAAUUUUAUGUGUUAUAUAAGCAAAUUAUCUACCCUAUUAUAUUAUUAUCUAAGUCUAUAAAUUCUAUAAAUGUUCCUGUGAUUAAUGAUUUUGAUUUUAUGUCUACGAAUAAAGAAUCCAUGGAUCAACA